rnacentral:rRNA from 1 species
GACGAACGCUGGCGGCGUGCUUAACACAUGCAAGUGGAGCGACGAACCGGGGCUUGCCCCGGGGCAGAGCCGCGAACGGGUGAGUAACACGUGGGUAACCUGCCUCAAUGAUUUGGACAACCCCGGGGAAACUCGGGCUAAUACCAAAUGUGUUCACUCCUUCUAAGGGGAGUGAGGAAAGGAAGCUUCGGCCUCCGCAUUGAGAUGGGCCCGCGGCCCAUUAGCUUGUUGGUGAGGUAACGGCUCACCAAGGCUUCGAUGGGUAGCUGGUCUGAGAGGACGAUCAGCCACACUGGGACUGAGACACGGCCCAGACUCCUACGGGAGGCAGCAGUGGGGAAUCUUGCACAAUGCGCGAAAGCGUGAUGCAGCAACGCCGCGUGGGGGAAGACGGCCUCCGGGUUGUAAACCCCUUUCAGUUGGGACGAAGCUUCGUCGGU